rnacentral:rRNA from 1 species
CGGGUGCGUAACGCGUAUGCAAUCUGCCUUCCACAGAGGGAUAGCCCAGAGAAAUUUGGAUUAAUACCUCAUAGCAUCAUGACCCGGCAUCGGGAUAUGAUUAAAGUCACAACGGUGGAAGAUGAGCAUGCGUCCCAUUAGCUAGUUGGUAAGGUAACGGCUUACCAAGGCUACGAUGGGUAGGGGUCCUGAGAGGGAGAUCCCCCACACUGGUACUGAGACACGGACCAGACUCCUACGGGAGGCAGCAGUGAGGAAUAUUGGUCAAUGGGCGCAAGCCUGAACCAGCCAUGCCGCGUGCAGGAUGACGGUCCUAUGGAUUGUAAACUGCUUUUGUACGGGAAGAAACCCUCCUACGUGUAGGAGCUUGACGGUACCGUAAGAAUAAGGAUCGGCUAACUCCGUGCCAGCAGCCGCGGUAAUACGGAGGAUCCAAGCGUUAUCCGGAAUCAUUGGGUUUAAAGGGUCUGUAGGCGGUCUUGUAAGUCAGUGGUGAAAGCCCAUCGCUCAACGGUGGAACGGCCAUUGAUACUGCUGGACUUGAAUUAUUGGGAAGCAACUAGAAUAUGUAGUGUAGCGGUGAAAUGCUUAGAGAUUACAUGGAAUACCAAUUGCGAAGGCAGGUUGCUACCAAUGGAUUGACGCUGAUGGACGAAAGCGUGGGUAGCGAACAG